rnacentral:rRNA from 1 species
AGUGAACGCUGGCGGUAGGCCUAACACAUGCAAGUCGAACGGCAGCACAGUAAGAGCUUGCUCUUACGGGUGGCGAGUGGCGGACGGGUGAGGAAUACAUCGGAAUCUACUUUUUCGUGGGGGAUAACGUAGGGAAACUUACGCUAAUACCGCAUACGACCUACGGGUGAAAGCAGGGGAUCUUCGGACCUUGCGCGAGUGAAUGAGCCGAUGUCGGAUUAGCUAGUUGGCGGGGUAAAGGCCCACCAAGGCGACGAUCCGUAGCUGGUCUGAGAGGAUGAUCAGCCACACUGGAACUGAGGCACGGUCCAGACUCCUAGGGGAGGCAGCAGUGGGGAAUAUUGGACAAUGGGCGCAAGCCUGAUCCAGCCAUACCGCGUGGGUGAAGAAGGCCUUCGGGUUGUAAAGCCCUUUUGUUGGGAAAGAAAAGCAGCAGGUUAAUACCCCGCUGUUCUGACGGUACCCAAAGAAUAAGCACCGGCUAACUUCGUG